rnacentral:rRNA from 1 species
CCGAAGUUAGCCGGUGCUUCUUCUUCAAGGUACCGUCAGCCUCACUCUUUAUUAGAAAGUAAGUUUUCUUCCCUUGCGAAAGAGCUUUACAACCCGAAGGCCUUCUUCACUCACAGCGGAAUGGCUGGAUCAUGGCUUGCAGCCCAUUAGUCCAAAAUUCCCCACUGCUGCCUCCCAGUAGGA